UGAUCCUGGCUCAGGAUGAACGCUAGCGGCAGGCUUAACACAUGCAAGUCGAGGGGUAUAGUUCUUCGGAAUUAGAGACCGGCGCACGGGUGCGUAACGCGUAUGCAAUCUACCUUUUACAGAGGGAUAGCCCAGAGAAAUUUGGAUUAAUACCUCAUAGUAUAAUGACUUGGCAUCAAGACAUUAUUAAAGUCACAACGGUAAAAGAUGAGCAUGCGUCCCAUUAGCUAGUUGGUAAGGUAACGGCUUACCAAGGCUACGAUGGGUAGGGGUCCUGAGAGGGAGAUCCCCCACACUGGUACUGAGACACGGACCAGACUCCUACGGGAGGCAGCAGUGAGGAAUAUUGGACAAUGGGCGCAAGCCUGAUCCAGCCAUGCCGCGUGCAGGAUGACGGUCCUAUGGAUUGUAAACUGCUUUUAUACGAGAAGAAACACUACUUCGUGAAGUAGCUUGACGGUAUCCUAAG
rnacentral:rRNA from 1 species